rnacentral:rRNA from 1 species
UACGAAGGGUGCAAACGUUGCUCGGAAUUAAUGGGCGUAAAGCGCACGUAGGCGGUAUCGCAAGUCCCAUGUGAAAGCCCACGGCUUAACCGUGGAAGUGCAUGGGAAACUGCAGUACUUGAGUACUUAAGAGGAUCGCGGAAUUCCCGGUGUAGAGGUGAAAUUCGUAGAUAUCGGGAGGAACACCAGUGGCGAAGGCGGCGAUCUGGGAAGAUACUGACGCUGAGGUGCGAAAGCGUGGGGAGCAAACAGG